GAGGAAUAUUGGUCAAUGGACGCAAGUCUGAACCAGCCACGUCGCGUGAAGGAAGACGGCCCUACGGGUUGUAAACUUCUUUUAUACGGGAAUAAAGUGCCCCACGCGUGGGGUUUUGCAAGUACCGUACGAAUAAGGAUCGGCUAACUCCGUGCCAGCAGCCGCGGUAAUACGGAGGAUCCGAGCGUUAUCCGGAUUUAUUGGGUUUAAAGGGUGCUCAGGCGGGGGAUUAAGUCGGCGGUGAAAUUUUGCAGCUCAACUGUCGCAGUGCCCUUGAUACUGAAGUGCUUGAAUGCGGUUGAAGACGGCGGAAUGAGACAAGUAGCGGUGAAAUGCAUAGAUAUGUCUCAGAACACCGAUUGCGAAGGCAGCUGUCUAAGCCGUUAUUGACGCUGAUGCACGAAAGCGUGGGGAUCGAACA
rnacentral:rRNA from 1 species